ACUGCCCCUGGAAGUGUUUACAGAAUGAGUGUUUUAUUACAUGUGCUUAAGUAGGUGAAAGAGAAGAGAAAGACUAUGUCUAUGUUCAGUGUUACGAAUGAGGAAGGUCUGAAAGACCUAGCUUAACAUU